UACGUAGGGCGCGAGCGUUGUCCGGAAUCAUUGGGCGUAAAGAGCGUGUAGGCGGCCUUACGGGUCAGCUGUGAAAACUCGAGGCUCAACCUCGAGACGUCGGUUGAAACCGUAUGGCUAGAGUCCGGAAGAGGAGAGUGGAAUUCCCGGUGUAGCGGUGAAAUGCGCAGAUAUCAGGAGGAACACCAAUGGCGAAGGCAGCUCGCUGGGACGGUACUGACGCUGAGACGCGAAAGCGUGGGGAGCAAACAGG
rnacentral:rRNA from 1 species